GAAAUGCGAAAAGUAAUGCGAAUUGCAGAAUUCAGCGAGUCAUCGAGUUUUUGAACGCACAUUGCGCUCCUUGGUAUUCCUUGGAGCAUGCCUGUUUGAGUAUCAUGAAAUCUUCAAAGUAAAUCUUUUGUUAACUCAAUUGGUUUCUACUUUGGUAUUGGAGGUCUUUGCAGCUUCACACCUGCUCCUCUUUGUUCAUUAGCUGGAUCUCAGUGUUAUGCUUGGUUCCACUCGGCGUGAUAAGUUAUCUAUCGCUGAGGACACUGUAAAAGGUGGCCAAGGUAAAUGCAGAUGAACCGCUUCUAAUAGUCCAUUGACUUGGACAAUACUUUUAUGAUCUGAUCUCAAAUCAGGUAGGACUACCCGCUGAACUUAAGC
rnacentral:misc_RNA from 1 species